UCUCACAAUAUUGGUUCUCUCUCUCUCUUUAUCCUCACUCUACCGAUUCUCUCUCUCUCUCUAUCCUCACUCUACCAUCGGCUCUCUCUCCCUUCGUUCGGCUGAGGGCGGCGCCGCCUCCGGCGCGCCGCCUCGCCGUCGCCUCCGCUCUCUCUCUCGCUCGAUUCCGGCCGCCUCUUCUUCCUCCAAGAUCUGCCGCCGCCGCCUGCUCUAACCUCGGCGAGAAUCGCCGGCUCCGACGCCUCCCUCACUCAUCGCCUCCUCCUUCUCACCUCAACCUCUAUCUCUCUCGCUCUCUCGGCCGCUGGAAGUCAGCCGCACGCCGCCGCCUUGGGUGUUCACGGCCAUCGCCUGGCCGUGGAAGAGCACGGCCGCCGCCGUUCGUCGUCGGAUUCGCUGUGAGGAGCCGAGCACCGUCUCACAAAGAUCGGAGACAACGGCAGGUUCACCGCCGCCGCUCCGUCGCCGGCGACGAGCCACCGCGGCUGCCGCCUCCCUCUGAUUUCGACUCACACACACACAGUAGGUUCAAGCCACAAUUUCAGUCAUAGCAUAGAUGAUUUGAGCAAAAUUCAUACAUAGUCAGGAAAUAAUUAUCUCUAUAUGUCCAUGUAAAAAGUCAAGAUCUUUAAUUGUUCUUCAAUUAAUCACACUGCAUAUAAACACCUCACUUGCAAAUUCAGCCUUUCGAACAUCAAUGUUAAAACGAGUUUAUACACAAGUUGUAUGCACAUAAAGAGGAAUAUGAGCAGUUGUAUGCGUUGGUGGUUCUUUUGGAGUUAUGAACUUGAUACAAGAAAUGGAGUAUUUCGAUUUAGAAA